rnacentral:tRNA from 1 species
GAAGUAAUACCUCAGUGGUGGUACACCUGCUUUGCAUGCAGAAGGUCCCAGGUUCAAUCCCUGGCAUCUCCA